rnacentral:lncRNA from 1 species
UCAAGACCCACCAACAGGCAUAUAAUUGAAUUAGCUUUCAAAAGAUAGAAAUUUUUCCUUAAUCCGAUAUCGAGUAAAAUGUUGUGGGCAAAUUACUGAAGCACUAUUAGAGUUGUCAGUGACCAUGACCCUAAUAACGACUGGGGAUCAGAUGGGACAUUAGGAGAGAGUUUUGAUCUGGGCAGUAGAGGCCAAAUUUGGGUUUCUGACCACGACUCAUG